rnacentral:lncRNA from 1 species
CAGGAUCCCCUUAUCCCAUAUUAGGCCCUUUUUACCCCAAAACGGCCUCAUUACCUCAAAACAGAACCCCAUUACCCCUUAUCACAACCCUGUUGUCCCAUAUUGGGCCCUUUUUACCCCAAAAUGGCCCCAUUACCUCCUAUCAGGCCCCCAUUACCUCACACCAGCCCCGUUAUCUCAUAUCUGGACCCCACUGUCCCAUUUUGGGCCCCUUUUACCCCAAAACAGCCCCCUUACCUCCCCCAACCCCCUCAUUCCCCACCAGGACCCCAUUACCUUUUUUUGGGACCCCAUCACCCCAUUUUGGGACCCUUUUUCCUCAUUUUGGGACCCCAUGACUUCACUUUGAGCCCCCUUUACCCCAAACCCGCCCCGUUACCCUACCCCAGGACCCCCUCACCUCAUUUGGGGACCCCAUCACCACAUUUUGGGACCCUUUUUCCGCAUUUUGGGACCCCCUCACCUGGUUUUAGGACCCCUUUACCUCACUUUAGGGCCCUCUCACCUCAUUUUGGGACCCCCCACCUCAUUCUGGGGCCCUUUUACCUCAUUUUGGGACCCCUCACCUCAAACCGGGGCACUUUUACCUCAUUUUAG